UACAUGGGGUGCAAACGUUGCUCGGAAUUAUUGGGCGUAAAGCGCACGUAGGCGGUUCGUUAAGUCGGAUGUGAAAGCCCUCGGCUCAACUGAGGAAGUGCACCCGAAACUGGCGAGCUUGAGUACGAAAGAGGAUCGCGGAAUUCCCGGUGUAGAGGUGAAAAUUCGUAGAUAUCGGGGAGGAACACCGGUGGCGAAGGCGGCGAUCUGGGUCGAUACUGACGCGUGAGGUGCGAAAGCGUGGGGAGCAAACAGG
rnacentral:rRNA from 1 species